CAGGGAGUCUAGAACCAGGUGUCACAGUUUAAGGGUACGGAGUAGGCCACUUAGAGCUGAGAUCAGGAGAAAUUUCUUCACCUGGAGAAUGUUGUUCUUCCCCCCAACACACACCAACUUUUAACUUCUUAUAACUAUCCGACCUGGGGGGAAUGAAGAAUGGAGUCAGGGAGAUGUGUCAAAGACCAAGCCAGCACCAGGAAGCGAGUUGCAGCCGGAGCGCAGAGCAGGAGCACAGCAAGCUCAGACCGGUCAGAGGGGCAGAGGACAGUACUUGGAGGCAGUGAGGCCUUGUGUUCUGAAGCCUUGAGGAGCACGCACUUCAUGAAAAAAGGACCAUAACGCAAGAAAGAUGCAGACAAAGACAAUUGAAAUAAAUAUCUUCUUAAUUACUGAACAGGACAGAUUUCAGUCUCCGGUCGGAAACCAAUCUCAGAACAUUUCGG